GACGAAGGGGGCUAGCGUUGUUCGGAAUUACUGGGCGUAAAGCGCGUGUAGGCGGUUGUCCAAGUUGGAUGUGAAAGCCUUGAGCUUAACUCAAGAAAUGCAUUCAGGACUGGACGACUAGAGGACCGGAGAGGAUAGUGGAAUUCCCAGUGUAGAGGUGAAAUUCGUAGAUAUUGGGAAGAACACCGGUGGCGAAGGCGGCUCUCUGGACCGAUACUGACGCUGAGGCGCGAAAGCGUGGGGAGCAAACAGGG
rnacentral:rRNA from 1 species